rnacentral:misc_RNA from 1 species
CGAAAUGCGAUAAGUAGUGUGAAUUGCGGAAUUCAGUGAAUCAUCGAAUCUUUGAACGCACAUUGCGCCCUUUGGUAUUCCAAAGGGCAUGCCUGUUCGAGCGUCAUUUGUACCCUCAAGCUUUGCUUGGUGUUGGGCGUCUUGUCUCUAGCUUUGCUGGAGACUCGCCUUAAAGUAAUUGGCAGCCGGCCUACUGGUUUCGGAGCGCAGCACAAGUCGCACUCUCUAUCAGCAAAGGUCUAGCAUCCAUUAAGCCUUUUUUCAACUUUUGACCUCGGAUCAGGUAGGGAUACCCGCUGAACUUAAGC